rnacentral:rRNA from 1 species
UACGUAGGGUGCAAGCGUUGUCCGGAAUUAUUGGGCGUAAAGAGCUCGUAGGCGGUUUGUCGCGUCUGCUGUGAAAACCCGAGGCUCAACCUCGGGCCUGCAGUGGGUACGGGCAGACUAGAGUGCGGUAGGGGAGAUUGGAAUUCCUGGUGUAGCGGUGAAAUGCGCAGAUAUCAGGAGGAACACCGAUGGCGAAGGCAGGUCUCUGGGCCACUACUGACGCUGAGAAGCGAAAAGCAUGGGGAGCGAACAGG